rnacentral:rRNA from 1 species
GGGGGGGGGGGGCGGGGGGGGGGGGGCGGGCAGGGCGGGCGGAGGGGCGGGGGGCUUGCGCCUCGGACGUUAGCGGCGGACGGGGGAGUAACACGUGGAUAACCUACCUAUAAGACUGGGAUAACUGCGGGAAACCGGAGCUAAUGCCGGAUAAUAUAUUGAACCGCAUGGUUCAAUAGUGAAAGACGGUUUUGCUGUCACUUAUAGAUGGAUCCGCGCCGCAUUAGCUAGUUGGUAAGGUAACGGCUUACCAAGGCAACGAUGCGUAGCCGACCUGAGAGGGUGAUCGGCCACACUGGAACUGAGACACGGUCCAGACUCCUACGGGAGGCAGCAGUAGGGAAUCUUCCGCAAUGGGCGAAAGCCUGACGGAGCAACGCCGCGUGAGUGAUGAAGGUCUUCGGAUCGUAAAACUCUGUUAUUAGGGAAGAACAAAUGUGUAAGUAACUAUGCACGUCUUGACGGUACCUAAUCAGAAAGCCACGGCUAACUACGUG